rnacentral:misc_RNA from 1 species
GAACGCAUAUUGCACUCUCUGGUAAUCCGGGGAGUAUGCCUGUUUGAGGGUCAGUAAAUAAUAAUUAUCAUAAUCUUUUGAUUGUGGAAUUGGGCUUUUAUUUCAUUUUAAUGAUUUAUGGCCUUAAAUUUAUGUUACCGCUUGUUUAAUAUGAAAUUCGACCGAAUGGAGCAAUUAAACAUUCUCUCGUUAGGCGGAUUCAUCAAGCAAUUACGAUUUUUUGGCCGUCGAAGCACUUUUUUUUUAGAAGUGCUUGGUCGAGAUUGUAAGAUACAUUUUUAACAAUGACCUCAAAUCAGGCAAGAAUACCCGCUGAACUUA